UACGGGGGGAGCAAGCGUUGUUCGGAUUUACUGGGCGUAAAGGGCGCGUAGGCGGUCGUGACAAGUCACUUGUGAAAUCUCCGGGCUUAACUCGGAACGGUCAAGUGAUACUGUCGGACUAGAGUACAGAAGGGGCAACUGGAAUUCUCGGUGUAGCGGUGAAAUGCGUAGAUAUCGAGAGGAACACCUGCGGCGAAGGCGGGUUGCUGGGCUGAUACUGACGCUGAGGCGCGAAA
rnacentral:rRNA from 1 species